CUCUAUUACGGGCCCUAGUACACUUCAGGAACUCAAAAGCUUUGCUGAUAUAAUGCAAGGUGAUAAAAAAGUAGAAAGACUUGGGAUAAUCUUGAUUUCUGAAGGCAUCAAACGGGAAUUAGAGAAAGCAGCAGGAAAAACGAAGGCCUUUUUAAGUUCCAUGAGAACUACGGUUUGCAAGACUGGUCAAAACAGUACAAUGCAAGCGGCAAGAAUCAGGAAGUGCACAGAAACAAGAAGCUCGGUGCACACUGGGAUCAGGCAAGCAUCUGGGAGAAGACUGUAGCAAGACUGGAUCCUGAGGUGUUCAGGGCAGAGCUGAAAGUAGGAGAUGGAAUCAUAUCAUAAGUCCCAAACCGGGAGAUGACCUACAGAAUAUGUGAAAAGCUUGUGAACAAUACCAGAGAGAAAAGGAUAGUGAAGUCAAAGUCCAACUUCUGCUGGGUCCCUGAAAGAAACCUCACAUUCAGGACGGCAAAAAAUAUCUUCCUUAAUUUCCCUCAACUGAGAGCAAACCUGUGUGGAAUAUUUUGCCUUGAGGAAGCAAAGAUGGGGAAGAAGACAGCAUCCUGUGGAAAGUUACAGUUGGUUUGCCUCUUUCUUUCAAACUUUCAUAUAUUCUGUUAGUAUUCUAAUCUAAAUACCAGGAGAAUUUUGAGCAGGAAAGUAGAGGAGAAUGACUGAAAAUUAAAGAACAAGACAAGCUUUAUUUUUUUGAGAGGAGGAGAUAUGGACAAGUGAGGGAUAGGCAUGUAAAUAAGUAAACAUGUCACUGAAGAUGGAUGGAGCAUUACGCCUGACAUGUGGCCAGAUCCCAGAAGAUGAGUUUAGCAAAGCACUUUGGGCAUGUAUGUCAUUACAGGAAUGAAAAAAAGAUGAUGGCCAAAUGCUGUAUUAAAAUCCCAUUAGAAAUGCCGGGAGAAAUUUAUGGCCCCAAUCUCUUUUAUCUGACAGGAGUUCCCAUGUGAUCCAUCAGGCUCUGAACAUGAAUUUUAAUGGGCUCAGAACCACUUCUCUACCCUGAGGUCACAGGCUGUCAGAGUGAAUCUUCCACAAACUGAUUGGAACCUGAAGAAUUUGCUCUGUCAAGAGAGGAAAAAAGGCAUAAACCUUAGGUGGUAUGGAGAAUGAGGAAAGGGGAGGAGAAGGAGAAAUCCAAAAGAUAGGUGGAAAACCAUGGGAGCAAAUCGAGAGCUUCCAAUUAAAAGGAAGAAGGAAGAACAGGACAUAUUUUCUGUAAGAACAAAAAAUGCCACAUGGUGCUUACCCUACCUGGCUGAUUUCGAUUAUUACAUCGCAAGACAAUGCAUCGCUCCAGCAAGGAUAACAAAGCGAAUGGGAAGGAAAGGGUUAUGAAGAGUUCAUGGAAGGCACCUUAGGCAGACUACUUUUAGGAAAGAGUGGAUGUGGAAGCUAAGUAUCUGGAAAUUGAUUUCCUUAGAACAGUUUGUGUUUGCAUGUCUUCUGAAAGGUUUUAUGUACUCCCAAGAGUGAAGCAGCAAGUCUUGCUUAAGCAAAGCUGGUGAAAUCAGAGCCUGGUCCAAGGCUCAGAAGCGUUUGCGGGGAAAAGCAAACACUUUUUGUGGGAGAAGGAAACAAAGGAGAAGAGAGGAGGAGGAAGAAAUUGAAAAAGAAGGGGAAGAGAAGAGGAAAAGAAAAAGAGACGUUGAGAGAAAGAAAAACAGAGAGCUGUGUGUGAGUGUUUCAAUUGAAUAUUGCAACUGAAGACAUUCACUCUGCGUUGAUCACCUAUGGAGUGAUCAAAUUUCAACCCUUUGAAGUUUCCUAAAUGAAAGAGGCACUCUGAAUUCAAAGGCUGUUUGAAUGAACUGACUGCUUCAGCACUGUCUUGUAGAUAUAGUCCAUUCAAAUAAAAGACAAAUAUCUGACUGAAUUUUGUUAGCACGUUAAGACAUGUAUUAUAAAAAGGUUUAAGAAGAAAAUAAUGGCCACAAUUCUUCAGAAAACAUGUGAACUAAUGUGACAAAACACUGUGGUGUUGCAAACUCAAGGUAGCUGCUCUGGCCAAGUCACCUCGCUGAAAUCUCCACUUCCACUUGUGCAAUUUAAAAGUGAGAGAAAAUAGAAGAGGAGAAAAGAGAAAAAAAGAAGAAAACAAUGAAAAUAAAGAAGGAAAGCAAUAGCAACAGAAAGGCUAGUGCUCAGGUGGAGGCUGCUGAGGAAUUUCUUAUAUGGACAUUGCUACAGUGUGAAUAUGAUGUGUCCUCACCAAAUGUCAUGUUGAGGCUUGGCCCCCAAUGUCAGUAGAGGAAAAUGUAGCAUAAUAAAAUAAUAAAGAAAAGGUUAACUAUUUUGGGUAGUAAUACAGGCUUUCAUGAAUGUAGAAUGGAAUUUUCCAGAGGCUACAUCACGUGCAACACUGUGCCAGACCAAAAGCAGAAGCAGAUAGGAA
rnacentral:lncRNA from 1 species